UAACCAUUCUAUGAUUCUAUCCCAGCUGGGCUGCCCAGUGUGCCAGAACCAGAAAUACCCUCACCCCAGGAGUAAAUAAGCCAUCCUGACAAAAACCAGUUAUACCAGCAUGAAUAUAUUUAUAUAUCUCCUUAGUGUGUGCUGUGUUGGUCAGAGGUUGCCCUUCUCUUUACCUCUAUGGGGAAAAUGUGUGGCAUAAACUUACUCGUAGAGGAUUAAGCUACAGUGAGCAAAGGCCACUUUGCAUCUGAGCAAGAUUGGCCAUGCAGGUGUUUUACGCGCUGUAAUAUUGCACUUCAAUUAAUUCUCUCCACUUUCCUCGACAAAAGCCCCAGGACGGGUCGGCUGUGCAGAUGUCAGCUUCCAGGCUGCAGGUAUUUUGGCGUGAGGACUGCUUCAAGUGUUGGAAUUUCAUAAUUUUUCUGUCACUCAGGAGCCUGAAUCAUCUUUUCUUAGACUUAAACCAGACGGUUUCACUCCUGGCAAGCUGAAGCCUGGAACAUUUCAGCUUUGCUGCAUCAUGUCAAGUUCUGCUGCCGCGUGCAUGUACAUGCUCCAGGAAUAUUUCCAUUACUGUUUCCACCUGCUCUUCAUUUACCAACGGAGGGAGGUUUCCAGGCAGCUUCUCAGUCUCUGGAAGGCUUUGUGAAUUCUUUUUUUUUGCCUUACCCUCUUAGGAACUGGAAAAGCAUCCUCUAGGAAGGAAGCAGAGUGCAGUGACUCUGCCACGCUCCUGUAUCCCUUUUAUCAAGAAAAUUUUAAUGCAGACUUUUAUACCUAAGAACGUUGCGUGCUGUCAGUAGCAAUCAGCUUGUGUUGAUGAUUUUCAGCGCAAGAAGCACUGUGAAAUUUAGCCUUGGACUUUCAUCUUUCUUACUGCUGCUUCUGAAGUAGAUCCGUAGGGAAAAAAAUAUAAUUAAUAUUUUUGUAUUACUGAUUACCCAGUGCUUGAGUUAUUUAAUAAAAUAAUUUAAAAUGCA